rnacentral:tRNA from 1 species
CAUUAGAUGGCUGAAAAAUUAAGUGUUGGUCUCUUAAACCAAAUUAUAGUAUAUAUACUUCUAAUGA